UGUUAGUGGCAGACGGGUGAGUAAUGCGUAGGAAUCUACCUAGUAGUAUGGAAUAGCUAUUAGAAAUGAUAGGUAAUACUGUAUAAUCCCUGCGGGGGAAAGAUUUAUCGCUAUUAGAUGAGCCUACGUUAGAUUAGCUAGUUGGUGGGGUAAUGGCUCACCAAGGCGAUGAUCUAUAGCUGGUCUGAGAGGACGAUCAGCCACACUGGAACUGAGAUACGGUCCAGACUCCUACGGGAGGCAGCAGUGGGGAAUAUUGGACAAUGGGCGGAAGCCUGAUCCAGCUAUGCCGCGUGAGUGAAGAAGG
rnacentral:rRNA from 1 species